rnacentral:tRNA from 1 species
GCCGGAGUGGCGGAAUGGCAGACGCGAUGGAUUCAAAAUCCAUUGAGGUAACACUCGUGUGGGUUCGACUCCCACCUUCGGCACCA